rnacentral:sRNA from 1 species
AUUUUAAAAUUUUAUAAAUAUUGAUUCAAAUACAUCCAUCGUAUAACCUAAUUCCAUAAUAAAACCCGUUCUAUAAUUUCUUUACCCGUCCCGUGUUUUUUUUUAAAGUAGUAAUUUUUAAAAUUUAAGAAUUAUUUAUUAUAUAUAAAAGUUUUGCAAAUUGUAUCAUUCUCUAGUACAUUUAUAUUUUAU